rnacentral:rRNA from 1 species
AUGAUAGAAGUGGGUGAUUUCGGCGAUAUUUUGUCUGAUGACACGGUGCAUGCCUUGCAGCUGCUAGACGCACCAGGGGCGCAAGAGCCUGAAUGUUGCUCUCUGUAUGAACAUGUUGUAUCUGGCGAGGAAGGCCCUGCUACAAUUCGCUUGCGCGCACAAGUGGGUGAUCAGGUUAUGCUGCUGCUGGUGGAUUCGGGAAGCUCACACAGUUUCAUCAGUGAAGCGUUCACCGCCCGGAUCGCUGCCCGAACAGAGAAGUUACCCGCGGUUACAGUUCGAGUGGCCAAUGGUCAGAGAUUGCAUUGUGACAAAAUUGUUCACCAGUUGGCAUGGUAGGUCCCAGGACACACUUUCCAUACCGAUCUCCGGGUUCUCCCGCUGAGCGCGUAUGAUGGAGUGCUUGGCAUCGACUGGCUCUCAGCGCAUAGCCCUAUGCUCUGUCACUGGCAACUGAAGACGAUCCAAUUCGACGUCAAUGGCAAAACUGUCCACCUGCAGGGAGUAAAAUCUUCAGACCUGCCUCGCAUAGCGGAAUUGGAUGCCUGUGAAUUGCAUCGCAUGGAAGUGGCGAAUGACAUUUGGACAACAGCCCUGGUUACCAUCGAGCGGACGGACAAAACCCAACCGGAACCUGUUCCCCCAAAUAUUCAGAAGGUGUUAUCUGAAUUUGAAGACGUGUUUGAUAAACCCACUACUUUGCCACCCCGUCGUCAGUAUGACCAUGGCAUUCAUUUGGAGCCAGGCACUACGCCUAUCAACACCAAACCUUACCGUUACUCGUCGGCACAAAAAGAUGAAAUC